CUUAAAAAAUAAAACGCGUGGUAAUUUGAUUAUUUUUCGUAAGUAUUGACGAUUGUAAUUAGUUUGCACAAGUUGGUUGCACAACACAUUAGACUUAAGCAAUUCUCUACGUGAACUUGUAUCCCAAUUAGGAAAUUAAGGAACCGCUGUCGUACCAACACCAGGGUGGCAGCACACCACCUUUUUUUCAUUCCUCUGCUUGCAGUAUGCAGGACGCUGAGUCACAGAUCAAGAUCUCACCGAGCUGUGCAAACACAGAUCAUGCAGACAGUGCCUGCCCCGGAGAGCAAUAUUUUAGAAGGGAUUUUAUAAGAACAGAAUUAAAGUUUACCGAAAGGCCCGAGAAGGCAGCCCAUUUAUACACCUCCAGCAAUCACAUUUUGGCAGCGUACUCCUGAGACGUCCGUACGUUUGCAGGACUUCCUCGCUGUGAUGGAGAGCGCGGAUAAUGAGGGACACGUCUGCUCACCUUUGACUAGAAAGCGCGAGGAUAUAAUAAGACGAUAAUAAUAUUUAGCAAUUCUGUAGCUAUUUACAACUUCCAAGGGCUAUGAGCCACUCACUGGUUCAUCCUCACCGCAGCCCAGCGAGGAAGGCGAGUUACCUCCACCACGUGCAUCUUCCUGGCAAGGCGGGACUGCCCUGCGGUCUGUCAUCCGGCACGUGCGCCACAGCGGAACAGAUCUCGCCUUGGAGAGAGGGGCGUUUUUUUCCCUUUUUUAUUAGGAUGUUCACCUUAAACUUCUCAUUCCAUAAAAACGGGAAAAGGUUAUUCACAUGGAAACAUAAGAGACUAAAAUAUGGGCUGAAAUGUGCCUGUUUCAAGUAUUUAUGUUGAUAAGAAAAAAUAAUGGGAGCAUAUGCUACAGAAAAUAAAAAGUAAGGAACAAGAUGCAGAUUAAGACGACUAGAAAUAAUAUGUCAGUGAUACCCAUGUCACCAAAACCUAGAAGACUGAUGAUCUGUAUGACUGAGGGGAAGCAAGUGGGUGGUGAGAGCAGAAAAGGGCUGUCAACCAUGAAGAUAAUGUUACAGGGACCCACGCUUCAGAUUUUCAAAGCCGAGUAAAGAAGUCGCACAGUGAAAUUAGUAGAAUUUGCAUGUGUCUCAAGUCAAAAUUGCAUGUGGGGAGAGAUUUCACAUCAAACACAGUAUGACACGGAGUAUUCACAGCGAACAGCAUCAAGUAGAGGUGACAGAUGCUGAAGGCAGCUGGUGAGCAAAUACCCAAAUCCAGAUGUCGUUGCCGUUUUCUCUUCCCACUCGAACUGACCGGAUGAAUUCACAGAAUCACAGCAUCGACUCGUAACGGAGGGUGCGAGUCUGUCCCCCCAAUCUGCUUUAACAGAAGCAAAAGAAAAACAGAAAAGAUAGUGGAGAUGCUGACUCUCCCAGCUUGUCCACCUUCACUUCAACUCCGUUCUUACAACAUUGCCACUUGUAAAAUACAUUCUGUGACGUGGCUGAUAGUAAACGUGGGUAAGUGGAGUUCAUCUGCUUCUAAUUUGACCGCUAUAGUGUCACGUAUUGUAAAUGUCGAACAGAUGCUUGUGCCUAUGAUUUUAUUUGUCUCUGCAUCAGGACGCCUGGGUCUCCUCUUCCUACGAACACCUUACGGGUCUUCUCCACGCCGUGGCAAAGGAUUCACAGCUUCGCGCUCGUCUUGCUGGUUCCUUCAGGAGAUCCGUUUCUGUUGAAACUGCCAAGAGAAGUUGCCCAGUGUUGGAAAGCUGGAGCAACGUCAGUUUGAGGGCUUUGAGUCUAGUUCGUACAAUUCAAGGAAAAUCAGCAGGAGUUUGUAAAACCAGUAACAAGUUUAUCAAAUGAAUACAUUUGACUGCUUUCCCUAACUUUUAUAGCUGACUUGUCUUCGACUGCAGCCCCCAGUUUUGAUUAGAGACUUAGAGUAUAAAUAUUCAAUAAUAACAACCAUAAUAAAAAUGUGUAACCUAGCUCCACCCCUUCCUUCAGGAAAAUUUUAUUCCACUGAAUGAUUGCAAAGUAGCCCCAAUUUUAAGCACCUCUGCUUCAAUCUUCAGUAUAUUUCUCAGGAAGAUUAGAAUAUUCUCCCCUGUUCUGUGAUGAAUUAACUGCGUUUGGUCGUAUUUUUUGAGGGGGGCAGGGGGAAUUACCAUAUCGCUAUAUGCACAAGAGAUCAAAUGUAUGAUUAAAAAUAUUUAUAAUACUGAUGUGGAAAAGAAUGAUAUGUUAAACAGAUAAGCAUAUAAUAAUGCAUGUCUUACCCAUAAAAUUUAAUUUAUCCCUUGGGCAGGGCAUAAACUUUGCUCAAGAACAACAUGUUUUCCAUCUAUAGAUUGCAGAGCUAAACUGCUUAAUUUUACAGCAAAUUGAUCACUGCUGUAAUAUUUCAGGAGCAAAAUGAUCCUCAACAGUCAGUUCAGUUUCAAAAGCCAAAAUUUAUAGUUCUGCUUCUGAUUUAGUGAUAAGGUUUUUUAACAUAUUGGGCAUUUCAUCACUUUCUAUCGGGAGUCAGCGUUGAACCAACAAAGAAAUAUUUUUUGAAAUCAACAACAACAACAACAAUAAUAAAAAAAAAGGACCAUAAAUAAUACACAUCCAACUGACAGAAGAGUUUAAUAUUCCCUUCAGACUGGUAGGAAAUUACUCAGGUUCCCGUCCUUGUAAACAUGUGUCCCGGCCCGUGCGGGAGACGCGCUGUGCCGCCGCAGGGGCGCAGAGCCCACCGGCCUUCCUGCCGCCGAGGAAACGGUGUCGCUUCUCUUCCCAAGUGGCUAAACUUCAUUUUACCCAAUGCAAAUAAAAUCCGGUAGAUCUAAAGUUAUUUGACACUUUUGAUAUGUUUAAAAUAAAUGUAGAGAGAUUUAAUGGUGUGAAAGUUCAUGACUCAGUAAAGAUUGCUCCCUAGCUGGGGUCUUAGGAUAGACACCUAUAAAAUCAAAUUAUUAUAAUCACAGGAGUCAUGAGAGAAAAGCAGGCCCUGCUGAGCUCCAGUCGCUGAGUUUUUGCAUUCAUUAUACUUCUCCCAGUUAUGAAACAAAGGGACAAGGUAGGCUGAAAUCUCAAAAGGUUUUAUCGAGUCAUUCUUUGCAGCAGCAUUUUGUGAUUACUACAGUGAAUUUUUAGAAAGCCGAUUCGCGUGCCAAGAGAAGGGGGAAGAGACACGGCUUCCUCCUUACCUCAAUGCGGUAGUAAACGCACGUUUUGGAACAAUAACCCCCAAAAUUAUGGACACUGGAAAAAUAAAAGUAAAGGCACGGAUUACGUUUGUGACGCUUAUCAGAGAGCGAUGCUCUGGAGUAAGUUACCGAGACAGAUAUCUAACGUAAAGCCAUGAUGCGUGAUGCAAAGGUCAGAUUUUAAACGGCUGGCUCCCACUGCCUCACGUUGUGUCUGGUUUAGGAGAGAAAUGGCCUUAAAAGUCCUUCUUAAACGUCCACAUGUCCCCCAUCCAUUUGGAUACCUAAUCAGCAGUGCCGUGUGGUGAGAUUUGGUGGGUGGCACAUACUGACGCGCAGGAGCACACCUAUGUGGCUGGUUUAUAAUCAAGAAGAUAAUUCCCCAAAGCCGCUGUUGCCUUCGUGCCUUUGUCUGCCCGCCGCCCUGGGACGCGCUGCAUGGAGACGCGGUGGUGAGGUCAUUUGCUUGGGCCCGACGUUUCUUUGGAGGCUUAAAGGGUACAAUGUCUCCGUGCACCGUGCGGAGUGUGAUGGUGUGUUUUUCAUGUUUGUGCUUCGUAAUAAAAACAAGAGAAAGGAAAGGAUCAAAUGCCAACAUUUUUUUUUGGUGAGGAAAACAAUAAUUAUGGGUGCAUAUUUCACCUGCAAUUAUUUACAACUGGAGUUUAGAUCAGGGAGAUGUCUAAAUCCUUGAUGGAAGCUCACAGUCGGCAGUGCAGACGCUUUGUCUGGCCCCGGUCUGUUUGGCUGGAUGGGAUUAUGCUGGGGAAGGAGGUGCUGAGCACUCUGGCUCCCUUCAAAAACCGAGGCGAGAGAUUUCGGCUGCGGGCUCAACUGAUUUAACUGCGCACGUUCUUCUUCAGUCGUUACGUCCCUUAGCUGGCCGAGCACGCGAACCCUCCCCACGGUUUGUGUUAAGCACUUACGCAGAUAACUUAGAAACAGGGUUCACAUCCUCAACUUGUGCAGUUUUACUGAGAACAGCGGAUGAAAGGUGAUUUAUGUUAGCCAAUAUUUCAAAGGGAUUUUCUAGGGCUCAAAAUUCAGCUUUGGAAAUACAUGCAAGAGUUCUAAUGGAAGAAUGCACUAGAGGUUGUCAAUCUUCUUUUAAUUACAGAGUUAAGUAUAGGAAAUCCUUUACCAAUCAGUUGCAAUUAAAGAAGAACUGUCUGUGGACAAUUUAGUGGAUUUGUUUUACUUUGCGUCAUCUUUCUCAGGUGGUUUUCACAUAAAAUCCCUUCUGCAGGUUUUAAGUUUGACGAUUGUGCUUGAAGACCCGAUCAGCUCUCCUGCAACUGGGUGCUACAGAAAUGGAUAGUAACGGACAGCCCGAGCGUGAACGAGUGUAAAAUCUGGGCUGCGUCCAAACUGACUCCAUGUCCAGGCGCGCAGGAUUGCCCAUUUACAGGCAGCCUCACAAAAACCGUGAACACAUUGGUGGUCAUAAAUCACGUACUGUAAUUCUGCUUGCCAAUGAAUGGCCAGCAAAAUAUUUUAAUGAAUGUUUGCACUCGUAAUGACUGUGUCUGCACCCAGAUCUCAAGGUGAACGUCAGGUGAACUUGCUGCGUAUCGAGCCCACGCUUUGAAAUACAAGAUACGGAGCGAGUCCAGACUCCUGUGAAAAUGGGUUCACGUUUGCGCAGUGGGUUCAUGGCCCUUAAGCACAGCUUGCAGCGAAGCAGAGCGCAGCUUUAAGUGCCAUCCCAAACCUGGCUUCCCAGCAGAGGCGUUUUCUGCCCGUUCCGACCGCAGCAAGCGCAGCGUCGGCUCCCCGUCCCCUUGCGUGCCUUCCUCGGGUUCUUGGGUUCCCUCCCGUGCUCUCCUCGCGUGACGGGCUCGCACUCUCCGCCUCCGUUGUUAUUCCCCCUAAACUUGCUUUGUUACCUGCUCUGUCUCCUGUGUCAUCAAAGCCCGACUCCGUACCGCCCGCCAAUUAGCCCUCGUCUGUCAGCACGUUCACAGCACCCCGAGGAGUGACGGGGAGCGGCAGCGCACGGAAGAGCCGUCGGAUGCGCAGCUCUGGGUCCUUGCCCUUCCUCGCGCGGUGGUAGCGUGGGGCUUAGGUUUCCUGGAGACAAAACUUUCGGGAAGCGGCAGAAGCCGUUGGUAACAACUGAAAUCCGAUGACUGAAAAGAGAAGCUGUUUCGAAAUUAACAGCGAAGUGCACAGAACCUUCCCGCGUUUGAAGCAGGCUGUUAGGAAUAUGGCCCUCCUCUGUAGGCAGAGUGAAAAAGCCCGACACAG